CGGCCUGAGAGGGCGACCGGCCACACUGGGACUGAGACACGUGUCCAGACUCCUACGGGAGGCAGCAGUGGGGAAUAUUGCACAAUGGGCGAAAGCCUGAUGCAGCGACGCCGCGUGAGGGAUGACGGCCUUCGGGUUGUAAACCUCUUUCAGCAGGGAAGAAGCGAAAGUGACGGUACCUGCAGAAGAAGCGCCGGCUAACUACGUGCCAGCAGCCGCGGUAAUACGUAGGGCGCGAGCGUUGUCCGGAAUUAUUGGGCGUAAAGAGCUCGUAGGCGGCUUGUCGCGUCGGUUGUGAAAGCCCGGGGCUUAACCCCGGGUCUGCAGUCGAUACGGGCAGGCUAGAGUUCGGUAGGGGAGAUCGGAAUUCCUGGUGUAGCGGUGAAAUGCGCAGAUAUCAGGAGGAACACCGGUGGCGAAGGCGGAUCUCUGGGCCGAUACUGACGCUGAGGAGCGAAAGCGUGGGGAGCGAACAGGAUUAGAUACCCUGGUAGUCCACGCCGUAAACGGUGGGCACUAGGUGUGGGCGACAUUCCACGUCGUCCGUGCCGCAGCUAACGCAUUAAGUGCCCCGCCUGGGGAGUAC
rnacentral:rRNA from 1 species